UUAGUUGGUGGGUAAAGGCCUACCAAGACAAUGAUGCAUAGCCGAGUUGAAAGACUGAUCGGCCACAUUGGGACUGAGACACGGCCCAAAUUCCUACGGGAGGCUGCAGUAGGGAAUCUUCCACAAUGGGCGAAAGCCUGAUGGAGCAACGCCGCGUGUGUGAUGAAGGCUUUCGGGUCGUAAAGCACUGUUGUAUGGGAAGAAAAGUUAAGGUAGGGAAUGACCUUAGCCUGACGGUACCAUACCAGAAAGGGACGGCUAAAUACGUGCCAGCAGCCGCGGUAAUACGUAUGUCCCGAGCGUUAUCCGGAUUUAUUGGGCGUAAAGCGAGCGCAGACGGUUGGUUAAGUCUGAUGUGAAAGCCCGGAGCUCAACUCCGGAAAGGCAUUGGAAACUGGUUAACUUGAGUGCAGUAGAGGUAAGUGGAACUCCAUGUGUAGCGGUGGAAUGCGUAGAUAUAUGGAAGAACACCAGCGGCGAAGGCGGCUUACUGGACUGUAACUGACGUUGAGGCUCGAAAGUGUGGGUAGCAAACAGGAUUAGAUACCCUGGUAGUCCACACCGUAAACGAUGAACACUAGGUGUUAGGAGGUUUCCGCCUCUUAGUGCCGAAGCUAACGCAUUAAGUGUUCCGCCUGGGGAGUACGACCGCAAGGUUGAAACUCAAAGGAAUUGACGGGGACCCGCACAAGCGGUGGAGCAUGUGGUUUAAUUCGAAGCAACGCGAAGAACCUUACCAGGUCUUGACAUCCUUUGAAGCUUUUAGAAAUAGAAGUGUUCUCUUCGGAGACAAAGUGACAGGUGGUGCAUGGUCGUCGUCAGCUCGUGUCGUGAGAUGUUGGGUUAAGUCCCGCAACGAGCGCAACCCUUAUUGUUAGUUGCCAGCAUUCAGAUGGGCACUCUAGCGAGACUGCCGGUGACAAACCGGAGGAAGGCGGGGACGACGUCAGAUCAUCAUGCCCCUUAUGACCUGGGCUACACACGUGCUACAAUGGCGUAUACAACGAGUUGCCAACCUGCGAAGGUGAGCUAAUCUCUUAAAGUACGUCUCAGUUCGGACUGCAGUCUGCAACUCGACUGCACGAAGUCGGAAUCGCUAGUAAUCGCGGAUCAGCACGCCGCGGUGAAUACGUUCCCGGGUCUUGUACACACCGCCCGUCACACCAUGGAAGUUUGUAAUGCCCAAAGCCGGUGGCCUAACCGUAAGGAGGGAACC
rnacentral:rRNA from 1 species